GACGAUCCGCUUUUACCCUUCAUGUGAGCUGAAGCAAGGAAUGGGAGAAGGAAAGCGCUGGUGCCAAAAAGCUCAUGCGGUGCGAUGAUUCCAAAGCUUCUUCGUGUUUAUGCAGGGUGGACCGAAUCGAGAGUGAAGGUGGAAGAGUGCAUAUUGAGAAUUCCUCAAUUCUGAGAUGCGAUGAAAUAUGUAGAAACCGUGAGAAGCGAGAAUUCCGAUAAUUUGCGGAGUGCAGAGAUGAAAUUACAAAGUGAGAAAAAAAGCAUACGCAGUUCUGAAAAAUCCUUCUCUCAUUGUGAUGAAGUCAGGUUUUAUAGCCUUAAAAUUCUGUUAUGAAAUCCAGGCCCAAACUCAAUUCAAAUGCACUUGAAAUUCACAUUCAGUUCCAAAUUCAGAAUUCUAUUGUAGUUUGUUAGAAAUUCAAACUCACGUAAAAUUGAGAUGUAAUGUUAAAUGAAACACUAUUUGAUUUUUCCUGCGGUGGUAAUUAGUGUGCAGAAUUUUGAUUAAUUGUUGUUAGAUGCAUAAUUAUGACCUGCUAGGCUUUUACCUUCUUGGAUGUAGCAGGUUUUAUUCAAUGAUGAUGACCUGUUACUACAGGUUUAGCAAGGUAAUAGCAUGUUGAGUGGUUAGGUUUUGGAGCAACUUUGAGCAAUGCUAUUGUAUCCCUGCUGCAAGUCUGCAUGGUUUUUUCUCUUCCAAUUUCUGUUGAAACUCAAAACUACUCAUGUUGGGGCUAUUAUGACAUGUGAAUAAAUGUUGUUAAUAACUAGGUCGAUUUGUAAACUUGGCUGUAGAAGUGGUUUUAUGUAAUUGAUUCAUGUUGAUUUGGUUGGUAUAAUUCCUGCUUAAAUGAAUAUAUGCUAAUGGUUGCAGGAUUGGUUUUGCAGGCUGAAAAUCCAAAUCAGGCCACAAAUAUGAAGCUAUGCAUAUGGAUGACACUUGAAGAAAAUUGCGAUUGGGAAUUAGGGAUGUAGGGAAAUGGUAGAUUAGGACUAGUUUUGAUCAUGUUGAAGAUUUGAAAUGGUGUAAUGUAUAGGGAUGAUUUUGAUUGUAAUCUUUGGAUGUAAAGUACAAAUUUAUGAAAAAGGAAGUUAAAUGGAAAUGGUAGCUUGAGAAUUUGGAAUUUUGUAAACUGUAAUGUUGAAGUCUUGAUGAAAUACUAUGUAACUUUAUAUGGGAAUGGAAUUGGAAUUUGUUUUAUGUAUGUGAAGUGAAAUUAGUUUGAAAAUGGGAGUGAAAGUUUGAGAAUUUAUGGCAUUGUAUUGAAUCUGUAUUGAAUUUGUGGAUUUAUAGAAAUGGAAGUUGAACAUUAAAUGGAAAACAUAAUGAACUGGA
rnacentral:lncRNA from 1 species